rnacentral:sRNA from 1 species
GUACUAUGACCACAGGCCGCGUGUUUGAAGCUGUAUGUUUCUUGACCCUGUUCCUCGGCCAAGGCCGUUUGCCAGAGCCCCCCAAAUACACAUUGGCUUUAGACUCAACUGUGUAUGAGCCUCCUCCAGCAUGAUGCUAGCCUGCCAUUCUGGAAUAUAUAUUUCAAACUUCUUGUGAAUGAAGUGCAUUAGGUAUUAUCAAAACCGAAUGACCAAGGUAUUUGAUAAUCUUCAGCUUAUUUAUUCUAGCCCUGGUUGAGCAUGUUGAUCCCUAUUUCAAUUCCUGAUGAUUCGCAAAGACCUACAUGAAUGGGAUUUGAUGUUGCAAUCAUUUAUUGAGACCUUUUUCACAAUGGAGUGAACAUAACAGCUUGAAGCCAAGUGUGCUGAGAACCAAAGUGAAACAUGUUAAUAUCCCAGAUACUCUUCUCUACUGACUUCCUUGCCACUGGCGGAUUAUACAUGCAGAUAAUCAGAAACAAGAACCUUCGCCGAACAAGGAAUAUUAUUAAUAUCACAAUCCAUGACAAUAGAUGAAAAAUUAUAAAAUUAAGAAGAGGAAUGGAGAAUGAUCUAUGGAAAUUCAAGCCACUCAUUGAGUGUCCUGAUCAUGUUGCGCAAUACCAUUUUAUCAGAACUAAUGUCUCAUAUCAAGGAUCUUGUAACAUCUCGCUAUUUGACACUUGC